GUGGUUUAACUGCCUCUCUCCCUUUUGGAAACUGAAUCCUGCAUGAUAUUCUUUUAAAAAUCAUAGUCCAUUGUUUUUUCUUUUUUGUUGUUGUUUUUAAAGAACUCUAAAGGCUUCAAAGCGAUUCUUUGACUAAGUAGCACAGCUCCAUAUAGGACCCCACUCCCCUGAUCCAAGCCUAGUGUCCAUUUAAUGAAACCAGAUUAGAAGGGAUUAUUGCUGGCUCUGGAGAGGCCGCUGCCACAAACAAUGUGUCACUCGAGAUUGUGCGGCUAUAAUACAGUUGUGCUCAGCUUGCCUUCACGUUUGUAUCCACCUGGAAACUCUCUUUCCCGGGGGUCACCUCAGGUCAGCACCCUGGAUGGCUGCUCCUUUCAGGUGGGGACUCUUGUCUGGAUUCCCUGCAGGCAUGUAGACAACUGUCUUGUAUUCCCUGUGAAGUAAAGCAAAAAAGUGCAGACUCUCCACAUCCCUCUCAGCAUGUGACCUCACUUGCUGUCCGCAUCCAUACCCACAGCCGUCUCACGUGUUGGCAACAUCUCCCAGCAGAGUGUGCAUUGUUCCAGUGAGAUCACUUUCCAGGGCCCUGGCACGGUCUGCUUCACCCUGUAUUGUGCCGUCCAUGUGUUUGAGAGAAGGAGCGAGAACAACUGUCUGCCAUUGUACCCUCAUAAAGAACUGCUUCACGGCCCCAGACACCUCUGCUCUCAGUUCACAGCCCAGCCCCAGACCCUGGCACACAUCUUUUGUUGCAGGCCAAUUUUUGCUCAAAGGCUUUGCUCGUCGACCCACUUCAUUUGUGUUGGGUACAUAAUGGAGAACAAUGAGGACUAAGAUAGCCACCCCUCCAACUGCGAGGAGGGGGUGAUGGUAGGGCCAGGUAAAAUAUCAAGAGAGCAAAGGCAAGAAAUCGUGAUUCCACUGCAACUCGAAAGAUACCGGUAAAGGCUGCAAAGAGAGUGGGGCCUGGUACGUCUAAGCCGAAGCCUCCAGGAUGAACAUAGUUUAGAUACUGGGCUGGAGAGAUGGCUCAGUGUGCAAGGGUGUUUGCUGCCAAGUCCGGCGACCUGAGUUUAAUAUGGGACCUGAGUUUAGAUGGUAGAGGGAGGGAACUGCUUCCUGAAAAUAAGUCAGAUGUUGAGAGAGGACAGAGUAUUCAUGAGCAACUGGAAAGUGUCGAGUUUGAGGAUCCCAGAGCUUGAUGAAUUAGCACAAGGAGACAUAGGGUGCGGGUCAGAGGCAAUGUUGGAGAGCGUUGGGCCAACUUGCUGGCCUGCCUGUGGGGGUGAUUUUAAUUAGGUUCAUUGAUGUUGGAAAAACCUGUCCCCUGCGGGUGGCAUCAUUUCCUAUCCUGAGAUCCUAGGCUAUAUAAAACCAGAGAAAGCGAGCUGAACACAGACACCCAUCCCUCUCUGACCAACUGCCUUCACCUCCAGCUACCAGGACGUCUCCACCACGAUUGAACUAUGAGCCGAAAUGAACGCUUCCGCCUGAGGGUGCUUUAUGAAUCCUAUUUAUUUUACCACAGCACCACACCAAAGGAAUAUACCAGCUUCAUUUGCAAAGGCAAGCUCCUGGACCCUUUACUCACUGGAGAAAUAGAGUCAGAGGGACAGUUUAAGAAGGUUCAAUGGACCAUAGACUUGGAGUAUUUGGGAAGAAUCACAACUAUACAGCCUGUAGUCUUCUCGUCCACUCCUUCCUACACAGCAGACACAGCAUCCACACUGUAUUAGGUGCUGUACAUCACUGGAGAUGAUGUAAGAGAUACAGGAUGGUGCGGCUAAGGCAUUUACUAGGUGGUCUUCAAUUUCCACGAGGAAGACAAUGGCAUCUCUUGCGAGGCGUGGCUUCUGAUUCUGACUUAACUCCUCGGCUCCUUCCACCCAGGUCUCCAGAGUCACAUUUAUCUACCUGUCCAUCUUGCUGGCAUCCCCCAGACUUCAUUUCUCAGAGUAAUCUCUCACCCUUGAACUACUCCAUCCCAAGAUAAAACCCAUUUUGGAACUCCUGUGGCAUUCAUUACCCAUUUCACCUCAUGAGACUAAAUGCUACUCUCUGUGCCUUGAUUUCUACAUUAUACAUGGAUAUAAUGGCAUCAUCUCUUGUGAUGAAGAUUUAAGGGGUGACUAUUUACAAGUCUGCCCAGAGCCACGCCUCCUUUUACACCCUCUGUUUCAGGAAUGUUCUCAGGAAUGUUUCAGACCCCCUUACACCCUCUGUUUCUGGGAAACCUAGCCAGUUAUCUGUUCUUACCAGUACACCUGCAAUUUACGGUUUUGGUUAAGGAUUAUAGGAACUGAAAGAACAAUGGGAGGGUGGUGACGGUGAUGAAUUGGUCUUGGGCCCUGUGUGGCCUUCCCACCUGCUUGUCUUUUUAAGUUGCUGUUCUGAAAUAAAAUUUGAGAGCUUGAUGAGACAAU
rnacentral:sRNA from 1 species